AACCUCCAAAUUCCUUACCCCAUCAGAUCUAAAUAUUGGUCUGAGUGGCUCAAAAGAAAGAGGAAAACUAAAACGGAAGUGAACUUAGAGUCUUUAAUGACAUACAAGUUCUUUUCAAACAUAA
rnacentral:snoRNA from 1 species